rnacentral:rRNA from 1 species
AUAUAAGGUCUGACCUGCCCACUGAUUUUUUUGAAGGGCCGCAGUAAUUUGACUGUGCAAAGGUAGCAUAAUCAUUAGUUUUUUAAUUAAAAGCUUGUAUGAAGGGUUGGACGAGGUAAAAUCUGUCUCUAUUUAAAUUAUUAUAGAAUUUAAUUUUUAAGUUAAAAAGCUUAAAUUUAUUUAAAAGACGAGAAGACCCUAUAGAUCUUUAUAUAAGUUUUAAUAGUUUUAAUUAAGAAUAAUUUAUUUAUUAUUAUUAUUUAUAUUUUAUUGGGGUAAUAAAAAGAUUAAAUAAAUUCUUUUUUUAUUUAAACAUUAAUUUAUGAUUAUUUGAUCCAAUUAUUUUGAUUAAAAGAUUAAGUUACCUUAGGGAUAACAGCGUAAUUUUUUUAGAGAGUUCAUAUUGAUAAAAAAGUUUGCGACCUCGAUGUUGGAUUAAAAAUUAUCUUAGGUGCAGAAGUUUAAGAUUUUGGUCUGUUCGACCAUUAAAUUUUUACAUGAUCUGAGUUCAGACCGGCGUAAGCCAGGUCGGUUUCUAUCUUUAAUUAAUGAUAAUAUUUUAGUACGAAAGGACCAAAUAUUUAAUAUAUUUAUAUUUAAUUUUUUGAAUAUUAUUAAUUACUUUGGCAGAAUAGUGUAAUGAAUUUAGAAUUCAUAAAUGUAAUUUUUUACAAGUAAUAUUGUUUUAUAUAGAUUUGAUAUUUUCUUUAAUUUGUAUUUUGUUAUUAGUAAUUUGUGUAUUAGUGGGAGUAGCUUUUUUAACUUUAUUAGA